rnacentral:rRNA from 1 species
AUUGAACGCUGGCGGCAGGCCUAACACAUGCAAGUCGAACGGUAACAGGAAGAAGCUUGCUUCUUUGCUGACGAGUGGCGGACGGGUGAGUAAUGCCUGGGAAACUGCCUGAUGGAGGGGGAUAACUACUGGAAACGGUAGCUAAUACCGCAUAACGUCGCAAGACCAAAGAGGGGGACCUUCGGGCCUCUUGCCAUCGGGUGUGCCCAGAUGGGAUUAGCUAGUAGGUGGGGUAACGGCUCACCUAGGCGACGAUCCCUAGCUGGUCUGAGAGGAUGAUCAGCCACACUGGAACUGAGACACGGUCCAGACUCCUACGGGAGGCAGCAGUGGGGAAUAUUGCACAAUGGGCGCAAGCCUGAUGCAGCCAUGCCGCGUGUAUGAAGAAGGCCUUCGGGUUGUAAAGUACUUUCAGCGGGGAGGAAGGGAGUAAAGUUAAUACCUUUACUCAUUGACGUUACCCGCAGAAGAAGCACCGGCUAACUCCGUG